GACGAACGCUUGCGGCGUGCUUAACACAUGCAAGUCGAACGGAAAGGCCCUGCUUUUGUGGGGUGCUCGAGUGGCGAACGGGUGAGUAACACGUGAGUAACCUGCCCUUGACUUUGGGAUAACUUCAGGAAACUGGGGCUAAUACCGGAUAGGAGCUCCUGCUGCAUGGUGGGGGUUGGAAAGUUUCGGCGGUUGGGGAUGGACUCGCGGCUUAUCAGCUUGUUGGUGGGGUAGUGGCUUACCAAGGCUUUGACGGGUAGCCGGCCUGAGAGGGUGGCCGGCCACAUUGGGACUGAGAUACGGCCCAGACUCCUACGGGAGGCAGCAGUGGGGAAUAUUGCACAAUGGGCGGAAGCCUGAUGCAGCAACGCCGCGUGCGGGAUGACGGCCUUCGGGUUGUAAACCGCUUUCGCCUGUGACGAAGCGUGAGUGACGGUAAUGGGUAAAGAAGCACCGGCUAACUACGUGCCAGCAGCCGCGGUGAUACGUAGGGUGCGAGCGUUGUCCGGAUUUAUUGGGCGUAAAGGGCUCGUAGGUGGUUGAUCGCGUCGGAAGUGUAAUCUUGGGGCUUAACCCUGAGCGUGCUUUCGAUACGGGUUGACUUGAGGAAGGUAGGGGAGAAUGGAAUUCCUGGUGGAGCGGUGGAAUGCGCAGAUAUCAGGAGGAACACCAGUGGCGAAGGCGGUUCUCUGGGCCUUUCCUGACGCUGAGGAGCGAAAGCGUGGGGAGCGAACAGGCUUAGAUACCCUGGUAGUCCACGCUGUAAACGGUGGGUACUAGGUGUGGGGUCCAUUCCACGGGUUCCGUGCCGUAGCUAACGCUUUAAGUACCCCGCCUGGGGAGUACGGCCGCAAGGCUAAAACUCAAAGGAAUUGACGGGGCCCCGCACAAGCGGCGGAGCAUGCGGAUUAAUUCGAUGCAACGCGUAGAACCUUACCUGGGUUUGACAUGGAUCGGGAGUGCUCAGAGAUGGGUGUGCCUCUUUUGGGGUCGGUUCACAGGUGGUGCAUGCCUGUCGUCAGCUCGUGUCGUGAGAUGUUGGGUUAAGUCCCGCAACGAGCGCAACCCUUGUUCACUGUUGCCAGCACGUUAUGGUGGGGACUCAGUGGAGACCGCCGGGGUCAACUCGGAGGAAGGUGGGGAUGACGUCAAGUCCUCAUGCCCCUUAUGUCCAGGGCUUCACGCAUGCUACAAUGGCUGGUACAGAGAGUGGCGAGCCUGUGAGGGUGAGCGAAUCUCGGAAAGCCGGUCUCAGUUCGGAUUGGGGUCUGCAACUCGACCUCAUGAAGUCGGAGUCGCUAAUAAUCGCAGAUCAGCAACGCUGCGGUGAAUACGUUCCCGGG
rnacentral:rRNA from 1 species